UUUGCAGAACUAUGGUGAGCC
rnacentral:piRNA from 1 species